GUUUGCUUCAGCAGUACAUAUGCUAAAAUUGGAACGAUACAGAGAAGAUUAGCAUUGGCCCCUGUGCAAGGAUGACAUGCAAAUUAGUUAAGUGUUCCAUAUUUAA
rnacentral:snRNA from 1 species